GACGAACGCUGGCGGCGUGCUUAACACAUGCAAGUCGAACGGAAAGGCCCUGCUUUUGUGGGGUGCUCGAGUGGCGAACGAGUGAGUAACACGUGAGUAACCUGCCCUUGACUUUGGGAUAACUUCAGGAAACUGGGGCUAAUACCGGAUAGGAGCUCCUGCUGCAUGGUGGGGGUUGGAAAGUUUCGGCGGUUGGGGAUGGACUCGCGGCUUAUCAGCUUGUUGGUGGGGUAGUGGCUUACCAAGGCUUUGACGGGUAGCCGGCCUGAGAGGGUGACCGGCCACAUUGGGACUGAGAUACGGCCCAGACUCCUACGGGAGGCAGCAGUGGGGAAUAUUGCACAAUGGGCGGAAGCCUGAUGCAGCAACGCCGCGUGCGGGAUGACGGCCUUCGGGUUGUAAACCGCUUUCGCCUGUGACUAAGCGUGAGUGACGGUAAUGGGUAAAGAAGCACCGGCUAACUACGUG
rnacentral:rRNA from 1 species